rnacentral:rRNA from 1 species
AUUGAACGCUGGCGGCAGGCCUAACACAUGCAAGUCGAGCGAGCGGCGGACGGGUGAGUAAUGUCUGGGAAACUGCCAGAUGGAGGGGGAUAACUACUGGAAACGGGAGAUAAUACCGAAUACAAUAUGAUGUGCCCAGAUGGGAUUAGUUAGUAGGUGGGGGAACGGCUCACCUGGGCGACGAUCCCUAGCUGGUCUUAGAGGAUGACCAGCCACACUGGAACUGAGACACGGGCCAGACUCCUACGGGAGGCAGACGUGGGGAAUAUUGCACAAUGGGCGCACGCUUGAUGCAGCCAUGCCGCGUGUGUGAAGAAGGCCUGCGGGUUGUAAAGCACUUUCAGCGGGGAGGCGUUACCCGCAGAAGAAGCACCGGCUAACUCCGUGCCAGCAGCCGCGGUAAUUC